GGAUGUGAGGGCGAUCUGGCUGCGACAUCUGUCACCCCAUUGAUUGCCAGGGUUGAUUCGGCUGAUCUGGCUGGCUAGGCGGGUGUCCCCUUCCUCCCUCACCGCUCCAUGUGCGUCCCUCCCGAAGCUGCGCGCUCGGUCGAAGAGGACGACCUUCCCCGAUAGAGACGUACCGUUCAUCGGUCAAGGGUAUACGGUAGCUGCGCUCCCCUGCUAGAACCUCCAAACAAGCUAUUAAUUUAGUUUUUAUUCAAUAGAGCUCUUACACAACUUCAGACAUUUGCUUAAAUGUUUUAGUUCAUU
rnacentral:snRNA from 1 species